rnacentral:lncRNA from 1 species
UUGCUUAUUUAUACCUGUUGUCCCCGUAGGACUUGGGGCUUCCGAGGUCAUCUGGCCUUGUCUGCUAUCUCUUAUUUGUCUUCAGUGCAGGGCUUGGCACAGAAUAGGUGCUUGGUGCAGCACGGGUUGCCUCAGAGAAUGAAUUUGAGGUGUGUCCAUCUCUCCUGCUUCCUGAGCUCCCCUUAGCAAAGAUAUUCUGCAAGAUACAAGGAUCCUAACUGGCCUUUGGUAGGUCUUGCUAGACUCAGGUGCUCAGAGAUGUAAAUGUUAAUCAUUCCAUAGAGCUGUUUUUUUAAAGCACCUGUUAAAAGCAUAGCACUGUGACUAAAAGGAUUUAUACAAUUGAUCACUUGGCAUUUUAGUUAUUUCAACCCUAGAAGUAACCAUGGCAUGACAAGGAGGGAGACACACCUCAUGUCAGAGGUCCCAGAGAAAGGUAACAUCUGAUGAGGGGCAGACACAUAGGAGGUAUGAGUUGGAAUUCACUUGGGGUGGUUGGCAAAACAUUACAGAAAAUAUUUAGGGAAAGUUAUAAGUUAUAUAGUCUCAAACCUUUGGGAAGGCCGAAAGGUUUUAAUAGGGCAGGCGGAAAGUGACUGGCUGGUUCGUUAAGUUCCAGUUUAAGUCUGUUUACCCUACAUCCCUUUGUCUCUACUUUGUUUACUCAUGUAACUUUGUGCUGGAUGGGCCUCUCGGGGAGAUCAAAGGGUAAUUACCUGUUAAUAGGGUUUACUCUGGGCCUGGAAGCUAAAGCUUUUAUCAUUCGUAUAACCACUUUUUUAACCAUGUUAAUUAUCCAUGAAUGUGUUAACUUAGAACCUCUGUUAGGAAUAAAUGUGUGGAUGGACAGGGAGUCUUGCUUGACCGGUUGCAUUUUGCCCUCUGAAAGCAGCCAACAGCCAUCCCUAGCCCACCUGAAACACUGUAAUGGUGUGAGUGCAUUCAUUCAUCCAUCCUUCAAUCAGGGUCUGCAGGCCAGACUUCCGCAGGAGGUGCAGGUGUGGUUCUGGGCAGACUCUGGUCAGUGGUCUCAGUGUUUCCGCCCAGCUGCCCGUGAUGACUGCAGGAGCCUCUACAGCCACCUGGGCAACGGGGGAGAUGCUUCAGCCUCACGGGAGCUGCUUAAUUGGCGAACCCAGCAGACUCCAUUGAGCUUGUUGCAGAAGCAGGUGAACCUAAGUUUCACUUGGCCUAGAUCACCCUGGGGGGUGGUGAGGGUCUUCUGGUAGGGUUGUGGUGAUGAUUCUCUUGUUUUUCACAGAAUCAUUUAACCAGGGGAUGAAAGGCAUUCUGUGCAGGGACAAGGGAUGUGCCAGUGCAGUCCAGCACUAGUUUAGUGGAAUGUAAAACCCUCACCAGGCUUUGCCUUGGCACGGAUGAGGACAAAGCCCAGGAGUGCCUGCUGCCCUGAGUCCAGCUUGUGAUCUGGAGCUACAGAUGGCGACCGGAGGCUCUUGAAGAAAAGCUGGAGGAACUGUUUCUUCUUCUCAAAGCCAGAUUCUGUGACUGGAAUGGAAACUCACGAUCAUUGGUGGAGAGCGUAGGAGGCUAAAAGAAACCUCAUCCUCUCCAGACAAGAGGCGCAGACCUGAAUAAAUGGACACAGUGAUUCCUCGAGUUUCUGCACAUGGAUCCUCACACAGAUGAUGCACAGAUGGAGCACAAUUGGGGGCAUUUGCUCUCUGACCUCCAGGCAUGGACUCAGCCUCCUCUGUCACUCCCCUCCCUUGAGACCCCACCCCGCUACCAGCCUUUCCUCUGCCCUCUUCCCCUCCAUUCCCAGAGCCUAAAUUUCCAGUGAGCUGAAAUGUGGAGUUCAUGGCAAGGAGACAUUCUCUUCUGCCUCCUUCUCCAGGAAGCCUAGGUGAAAUCCUGAGCCAGCUUCCAUAAAGGGCUUCGGUCCACCUUAUCCCCACUCAGGGGCUGGAGCCCCACCCAGAAAAUGGAAAGGAGUUGCCUUCUGGCUUCUCAUUGAGCUGCCGUAUGAAGCUGCUAGUCCAAAUCCCUCAUUACCACCAGGCUCUACAUAAUGUCUCACUUUUUCCCAAAUUUGUUUUUGAAUUAUUUAUGAGGGACUUUAAAAAUCUCAUGGAAAAUGUGUAUUAUGUGAAAACUAUGCAUGGAUUUCACGUUUUUUACACCAAAAUAAACUCACACCAACUUGUUAUAAUAUAUCUGAAUAGAGUCUAGUUUGAAACACUGAGAAGGAUCAGACAUUGACUUGAUAAGAGCCCCUAUCAGAAAAAAAUGAAUUCUGUGAAAAAUAAGUAAAAACAAACAUUAAAUUCACGGUAAAGCUUGGGUGGAAGAAUGGUGAAGUCAUGGAUGUUUUACCAAAAGUUUUGGGGACAAUGCCCCCCCCCCACAAAAAACCUGAAAGUUCACAAAUGGAUAACAUAUUUUAAGAAAGGAAGAGAUUCAAGACCAGUCUGACCAACAUGGAGAAACCCAGUCUUUUCUAAAAAUACAAAAAUUAGCUGAGUGUGGUGGCAUGUACCUGUAAUUCCAGCUACUUGGGAGGCUGAGGUAGGAGAAUCGCUUGAGCCCAGGAGGCAGAGGUGGUUGCCGUGAGUUGAGACGGUGCCACUGCAGUCCAGUCUGGGAGACAGAGUGAAAUUCUAUCUCAAAAAAAAAAAAAAAAAAAAGUUGAUGUGAAAGAUGAAGCCCACAGUGGCAGACCAUCCAUAUUAAUUUGUGAGGAAAAAAUAUUCAUCUUGUUCAUGCCCUAAUUGAAGAGGACCAAUGACUAAUAGCAGAAAAAGACCCAACACCAUGGACAGAUAAGCUGCAGAUAGGAGGGGAGAUUUAGAUGAAAAUUUUAAACAAGUGGGAUUAAGAUCCUGAAGCAUUUCUUCAAGGAAUUGUAACAGGAGAUAGAACUUGGCUUUCCCAGUACAAUGCUGAAGAAAAACCACAAUCAGAGCAAUGGCUACCAAGAGGCAGAGGUGGCCUAGUCACAGCAAAAGCAGACUGGUGAAGAGCAGAGGUCAAGGCAACAGUUUUCAGUGAUGCUCAUGGCAUUUUGCUUGCUGACUUUCUGGAGGGCCAAAGAGCAGUAACAUCUGCUUAUUAGGAGUGUUUUGAGAGAGCCACAGCUUUAGCAGAAAAAUGGCCCAAGAAAGCUUCACUAAAGAGUGAUCUAUCAUGACAGUGCUCCUGCUUAUUCCUCUCAUCAAACAAAGUCAAUUAUGUAAGAGUUUCAAUGGGAAAACAUUAAGCAUCAACCUCACAGUCCUGAUUUGGCUCCUUGUGACUUCUUUUGUUUCCUAAUCUUAAAAAUUAUUUAAAGGGCACGUGUUUUUCUCUGUUUAAUAGUGUAAAAAAGACUGCCUUGAUAUGGUUAAAUUCCCAGGAUCCUCAGUUCUUUGGAGAUGGACAAAAUGGCUGAUAUCAUCACUUACAAAAGUGUCUUGACCUUGAUAGAACUUGAAUCUCACACUCAAAAUUUAUAUUUUUUAGUCUUAUCUUUUAAUUUCAUUCUCCCACAAACCUUUAAAAGUCCCCUUGUAUUUGUUUUUAGUUUAACAACUUCCUUUAUAUGUGCUUUACUUUUCCUCGAAC